CGACCGGGACGACCCGGUCAUGCCCUUGGGUCUUGUCCAGGACGACCUGG
rnacentral:ncRNA from 1 species